UUAGGUAGCGCCUCGUGAAUUCAUCUCCGGGGGUAGAGCACUGUUUCGGCAAGGGGGUCAUCCCGACUUACCAACCCGAUGCAAACUGCGAAUACCGGAGAAUGUUAUCACGGGAGACACACGGCGGGUGCUAACGUCCGUCGUGAAGAGGGAAACAACCCAGACCGCCAGCUAAGGUCCCAAAGUCAUGGUUAAGUGGGAAACGAUGUGGGAAGGCCCAGACAGCCAGGAUGUUGGCUUAGAAGCAGCCAUCAUUUAAAGAAAGCGUAAUAGCUCACUGGUCGAGUCGGCCUGCGCGGAAGAUGUAACGGGGCUAAACCAUG
rnacentral:rRNA from 1 species